rnacentral:tRNA from 2 species
GGUCUUAUAUUCAAUGAUGAUUUUAAAUUGCAAGUUUAAAGGUGAGAUUUUCUUUAAGGCUU